GUAGUCUCGCACAGAUGCAUAUCAAUAAGCGGAGGAAAAGAAACUAACAAGGAUUCCCCUAGUAACGGCGAGUGAAGCGGGAAGAGCUCAAAUUUGAAAUCUUAAAGGGUUUCCCUUUACGAAUUGUAGUUUAAAGAAGUGUUUUCUGUUGAGGUCUUGGUAAAAGUUCUUUGGAAUAGGACAUCAUAGAGGGUGAGAAUCCCGUAUUUGACCUUUACUUUCAACUUUGUGAUACACUUCCAAAGAGUCGGAUUGUUUGGGAAUGCAGUCCAAAAUGGGUGGUAAAUUUCAUCUAAAGCUAAAUAUUGGCGAGAGACCGAUAGCGAACAAGUACCGUGAGGGAAAGAUGAAAAGAACUUUGAAAAGAGAGUUAAACAGUACGUGAAAUUGUCAAAAGGGAAGCGUUUGACACCAGUGUUGUUUUUCUGAAAAUCAAUUAAAGAACUGUUUAUGCUAAGUUGUUUAGACUUUAUCAGCUAACUGUUUAGUUUUGAGCUUUUCUUUAAUGCACUUUUCAGUUAACAAGUCAACAUCAAUUUCUUUUGCUGUAAAAAAGCUUGAGGAAGGUGGCUUGAGAUUCGUCUUAAGUGUUUAUAGCCUCUUGCCUAUGCAGUCGGAGAGAUUGAGGUCUGCAGCGUAGAUCCUUCGGGGCUAAAUGCAUUUGUGCUAAGUUAUAGCAUUUUAUAGACAACUUGUUGACUAUGAUUUGUCUUGUAGCUUACUCGCUUAUGUUAUUUUACCUACGCUUAGGAUGUUGACGCAUGAGAUAUACGC
rnacentral:rRNA from 1 species